GGUCUGUUAGCUCAGUGGUAGAGCAUUUGCUUUACAAGUCUUGUGUACGCAAAGGGUCGAGGGUUCGAACCCCCCACGGAUCA
rnacentral:tRNA from 1 species